UAGGGAAUCUUCGGCAAUGGACGAAAGUCUGACCGAGCAACGCCGCGUGAGUGAAGAAGGUUUUCGGAUCGUAAAACUCUGUUGUUAGAGAAGAACAAGGACGUUAGUAACUGAACGUCCCCUGACGGUAUCUAACCAGAAAGCCACGGCUAACUACGUGCCAGCAGCCGCGGUAAUACGUAGGUGGCGAGCGUUGUCCGGAUUUAUUGGGCGUAAAGCGAGCGCAGGCGGUUUCUUAAGUCUGAUGUGAAAGCCCCCGGCUCAACCGGGGAGGGUCAUUGGAAAAGGGGAGACUUGAGUGCAGAAGAGGAGAGUGGAAUUCCAUGUGUAGCGGUGAAAUGCGUAGAUAUAUGGAGGAACAACAGUGGCGAAGGCGGAUCUCUGGUCUGUAACUGACGCUGAGGCUCGAAAGCGUGGGGAGCAAACAGG
rnacentral:rRNA from 1 species